rnacentral:lncRNA from 1 species
AGGACGUAUCGUCCACGGCUUCGGUCUGAGAGGGAGAGGUUGCUGCUUGCCAGCACCAGAGCAAAGAAGGCACGUGUCAAGAAACGGUUACCGCCUAAGGCUGCUCCGCCACCUCCUAAGAACAGCCGACGAAUUGUGGCAAUCCCACCUCCACCGCCGCCUCCAAAGAACAUCGGACGAGGGAGAUGCUCACCUUCUCCACCACCUCCACCGCCUACUCCGAUGGCGUCGUACAGCUUGGGGAAGCGAAAUCAUUAAACUGGGACCACUAGCUGGGAUUAUCGUCCCUCGAUUCCAUAUCCGUCCUGCAACGCAAUUGCGUCGCGCAAUGGUCGGUGCCCAUCUUCGCAGUGC